UUUUAAAGUUGUUGAACGAAACCGGGUUUUCGACAUUUUGCCGCUGAUAACCUGUCACUCGAACCACAUCGUGUUGGUCAUUUUUAUAACUUGGUCAAACAUUAUCACAUUGUCUCAUCCUUGACUUCUGAAACAAUCCACAUCGUCAAAUACCGCUCGUGAACCAUCGUCGUCUCCAGACUUGUUGUGUUUAAAAUUUUGUGAAAGCGUGUGUGUUUGUGUGGGUGUCAGAAGGUAUGGAGGACAAAAGCGAGUGGAUUAGACUCUCGGUGGUGGUAUUGUGGUCAGAGGUAAUGUGUUCUUCGGACUGAAUUGCUUUGAAUUCCACUCUACCCUCUACCCUUUAAUGGAAGGCAUUUGUUUUGAUCUCUUUGAGCUUUUUCUCUGCUUUGCUUCAAGUCUAACUCGUUGGCCUUGUUUGAAACCCUUAAUCUAUUUGUCUCAUUUCCUGUUCCAUGAUCCUCAGGUGUAUUUUUGAAGAGGUGAAUUGUGGUGACACUAGUGGUUUUGUAUAAACUACCUUUGUGGUAUAAUUGAGAAGUUGUUCUGCACACGUUUGGCUGAAAAACGGAUUUGUUUUUGUUUGGGAACAAAGAAUGUUUUGGUCUCUCUCCUAAUCCCCCCCACCCCCUUGACUGUUUACAUGAGUACAUGGUGCUGUGGGUCGAUCUGCUUCGUUGUGCAGGGUCUGAGAGGUCCAUUAUUGAAGCCAAUAUCCCAUGCGUGACAAACCCUGCCAGUGAUUUGAUUUGGCGUCAUGUCGGCGCUGCCAGUCCCUGGGAUUACCUCACACGGAGGACGUUUGGGACUGUGAACACUUGGGUAUCGAUGGUUGAAAUGUUGAGCAGUAUUCUGGCACAGGACACCAUGAACCCGUCAUCUUCAACUGCCCAAAUGAACGGCUCAAUGAGCAGCACCUCAUCCAUCUUCCCAACAAGUGAUGACGCUCAAACCGUUUCAACUCGAGUCACCACCGUUGAUGAAUCGAGUCCGAGCACCGUUGAGUGGAACUCGAGCACGAGUCUGGGAAGCGCCAGCACUCCAGAAAUGAAUACCAAUGGCACCACCUCGGGUCUAGCCCCAACUUCUGUGACGACCUUCUUGGCUAGUACGUCUAAGAAUAUGUCAGGCACUGCCACAGCGGAAGGGCCAGUUUAUGACACGAGCAGUACCACUUCCCAGCAGGGUGCAUUGAGCUCCAGUUCUUCAGAGAUCGCACGGAGCACGGGAUUCAGCACGUCAGUUGGUACUUUGAUUUCUGCUUCGACUCAGUUGCACACGACAGGAACAGAGCAAGCAUUGAAGCCUGAGCCACCAGGUACCCUCUCAGCUGGCGCGGUUUCUGUGAUCAUCGCUUUCUGCGUGCUGGGCCUCAUCGUGUUGCUUGGAGCAGCAGUGUAUUACAUCCGCAGCAAACGUGGGCCAGAGUUUGAGCGCCUGCAAGAUGACGUACCCAUGGAUGAUAACAUUGGAGCGAUUACUUUUGCGCAGCUCGGAUGACCCACGGAAUGCCGAUUCAUCAAUCUCUUUUCCACGUAUUGGGGGUUUUUUUUUUUUUUUUUGGCGUGGGGGUGGAGGGCAUGCUUUAACAAAUGCAAGUUGACCGAAGCAAGCAACAUGUAAGCUUGAACAUAUGUACAAGUUUUGAUUUGCCUGUUGCACCCCUUUUGGACAGAAUAUCAAUUGAAAUCGGUGCAAUGAUGUAUUGAGGUUUUA
rnacentral:lncRNA from 1 species